rnacentral:rRNA from 1 species
UGCAGUCGAGCGAAUGGAUUGAGAGCUUGCUCUCAAGAAGUUAGCGGCGGACGGGUGAGUAACACGUGGGUAACCUGCCCAUAAGACUGGGAUAACUCCGGGAAACCGGGGCUAAUACCGGAUAACAUUUUGAACUGCAUGGUUCGAAAUUGAAAGGCGGCUUCGGCUGUCACUUAUGGAUGGACCCGCGUCGCAUUAGCUAGUUGGUGAGGUAACGGCUCACCAAGGCAACGAUGCGUAGCCGACCUGAGAGGGUGAUCGGCCACACUGGGACUGAGACACGGCCCAGACUCCUACGGGAGGCAGCAGUAGGGAAUCUUCCGCAAUGGACGAAAGUCUGACGGAGCAACGCCGCGUGAGUGAUGAAGGCUUUCGGGUCGUAAAACUCUGUUGUUAGGGAAGAACAAGUGCUAGUUGAAUAAGCUGGCACCUUGACGGUACCUAACCAGAAAGCCACGGCUAACUACGUGCCAGCAGCCGCGGUAAUACGUAGGUGGCAAGCGUUAUCCGGAAUUAUUGGGCGUAAAGCGCGCGCAGGUGGUUUCUUAAGUCUGAUGUGAAAGCCCACGGCUCAACCGUGGAGGGUCAUUGGAAACUGGGAGACUUGAGUGCAGAAGAGGAAAGUGGAAUUCCAUGUGUAGCGGUGAAAUGCGUAGAGAUAUGGAGGAACACCA